rnacentral:tRNA from 1 species
AAAUCUUUAAAAAUUUUAAGUUGCUAACUUAUUUUUCUAAUAUAUAAAAUUAGGUGAUUUU